rnacentral:rRNA from 1 species
UACAGAGGUCCCAAGCGUUGUUCGGAUUCACUGGGCGUAAAGGGUGCGUAGGUGGCAGGGUAAGUUUGAUGUGAAAUCUCCGGGCUUAACCCGGAAACUGCAUUGAAUACUAUCUUGCUUGAGGUUUGGAGGGGGGACUGGAAUUCUCGGUGUAGCAGUGAAAUGCGUAGAUAUCGAGAGGAACACCAGUGGCGAAGGCGAGUCUCUGGACGACUCCUGACACUGAGGCACGAAAGCUAGGGGGGCAAACAGG